CGUCGAGCACCUGCAGCGCCUCGUUCUCCGAAAAGGCGUCCGGGUGGAUGUCGGAGAGCCCCGGGUUGUCCGUCAUCCUCAGCAUCACCAGGCUGGCCAGCGGCCCGAACGUCCGGUCCUCGAUCCGGCGCAAGGUGUUGAAGGAGAGGUCCAGGUGUUGAAGUGCUGAAUCAGACCCAGCAGGAUGGAGGAGGAGCAGCAGCAGGAGGAGGAAGACAGAUGUUGCUGCUGAUGAGUCGUAUUAAACAAAUUACCCCAAAAUGGCAACCAGCAGCCCCUUUCUGCCCCCCCGACACACACACUGACCACACUCUCUCCAUAUCUCUCCACCCUCAGAGAUCCACUAAUAGAAAAUCUGUUGGGUUUUCUGUCUAUUCACGGCCUCUGUCAGGUUGCUCUCCAUGUGGACUGAAGUCAUCCUCACCGCUGUUUAAGCCCUUAGAAACUGGCUCUCGGAGGACAUCUAGUGUCGGCAACUUGGAACUGCGUUUUAGGAUCGAUGCUUGACGGAUGUUUUCACUCUCAGCUUUGUCACUGUUGUGAAAUGGAAGUAAACGCGGAACCAGCGGACGUUUCACAUGCUCUUAAAAGUUUACCCGUAAGCAAAAAAAAAAAAAAAAAUGAUCAAGAAUAAUCAAAGUAUUGUCUAAAAAUAGGUUCAAAGUUAAUUGUACUUACUUCAAGUGGCCACCGUUUGAGGUCAAAUGGUGGGUUUUCUUGAGGCCUCCACUAGAAUCGAUUAUGCACCGACUGAUGGCCAAGCAGAAAGCAAUGUUGAACUUUAUGGAAAAGCGACAAAAAUACUGGUGUUGCUGAAACGCAGACAUAAAAGGUUCUGUUCGCUUCACAGUAAAAACCUUAAAGAAGUCACCUGCUCAGAAGGAACGACGCUUUUAACUUUUUAGCCUGCGUGUGUAGCAGGAGGAAGCUUGCCCUGCAGGAUUGAGGACACCUGGAACCCAAUUAACUCCUCACAAGGUGUGGAGCAUAAAAGGAGACUCCUACACCUGUUUUCUUUAUGCCUGGACAUGAAGAAAACAGUCCACCGACCUUCAGCUCGGUUGGUUUCCAGUGGUCACGUCUCUAACAUCAGUAAGUAGUGAUGGGCAAAUGAAGCCUCACAAAGCAAAAAGGUUCAUUACUCGACGCUCAAACCCACGCCUCCAGGUGAGACUGCAACCUGAACGCAGCACCUCGGACCGCUCGGCCAUCCUGACCUCACGCAAAUGUGUUAAUGUCUUUUCUCUGAGAAUUCGCAUAUGGGUGAAAACCACUUGGUUGAUUGAGAGCUCUGCAAAGUUACAUUUUCUCUGUUAUCUACUGGGAUGAUUUCAUUCCUUACAUGAUGAAAUACCACAGCAGAGUCAGCAGUCAGUGGGUCCUCCAUUUCCACUGCCUUACUUACUUACACCAAAAGUACAGGAGUCGAGUUAAAAUGACGACUCUGAGAGUGCAGUCGAGGCAAAUGAGAAAAGUCUUUCUGUCAGAAGUGGGAUUCGAACACACGCGUCCAGGGGAGACUGCGACCUUAACGCGGUGCCUUGGACCGCUCGGCCAUCCUGACUCCCAUCCCCUGGGGUGUGAGAUGCUUUUUUAUGCAGGAUGUUCGAAGGGCGAAGAACACUUGACAAUUCAAUGAGGACUAUGCCAAAUGUUUGCUCAUAGCGACAAGCAAAAGUUAGCAGUUUUUCCACUAAAUUUCGGGUUGUGUUUGCAUUGCUCCCAUGCAACUUCUUACCAUAAUGUGUGUUGAGUGAUGGUAUUCCGGAGAACCACUGAACAUCUCCCUCAAUUGUUGUUGGUAGACCUGACCAGAAACUCAUUUUCUUGGUCCACUUAAAUGCAAGCAAAUUGGGAUUCGAACCCACGCCUCCAGGGAGCCUGUGACCUGAACGCAUCGCCUUAGACCGCUCGGCCGUCCUGACUUCCUGAGUCGCGCACAAGCAGCUGGGUCUUAAUAAAACAGGCCGUCCUUGAAAUGUCAAAUUCAUGCAUUUAAAACUUUUAGUCAAAUGGACCAAAAUUGAGUGGAGAGUACUUCUGUGCCAAGAAAAAUAACAUCAAGCAAUAAAGUCCAAUUAUUUCUUCUUUUUUUUUUUUUGCUGUAGGAGAUGGGUGUUAUUCAUUGCAGACCCAAUUUUUUUUCACAUUUGCAUUUAGUUUUCAAAUUCUUUUAGGCCCAGAUGAAAUUUAUUUUCAGUUAUAAAAACAGGAUUUGGGUCGCAUUCUUUCAAAACACUUGCUGUAGUUAGUCGGGUUUAAAUAAAAGCUGAUUUAGGUGAAGUCGGCUUUUACGUGAAAACCGUCUGAACAGAUGUAGUUCUUACUGUAAAAGCCUGGUUGUAAAAAAGGCAAAUACUUUUGUGCCGUGCUUAAUAUUUCCCAGUGUAAGAAAAUUGCUGAUAUUACCAUGAUUAAAAAUAAAAAGUUUAAAAAAUA